rnacentral:rRNA from 1 species
CAUGGUUGUCGUCAGCUCGUGUCGUGAGAUGUUGGUUAAGUCCCGCAACGAGCGCAACCCUCGACCUUAGUUGCCAGCAUUCAGUUGGGCACUCUAAGGUGACUGCCGGCUAAAAGUCGGAGGAAGGUGGGGAUGACGUCAAAUCAUCAUGCCCCUUAUGACCUGGGCUACACACGUGCUACAAUGGGCGGUACAAAGGGUCGCGAACCCGCGAGGGGGAGCCAAUCCCAAAAAAGCCCGACUCCUCAGUUCGGAUUGCAGGCUGCAACUCGCCUGCAUGAAGCCGGAAUCGCUAGUAAUCGCGGAUCAGCAUGCCGCGGUGAAUACGUUCCCGGGCCUU